GAUGAACGCUGGCGGCGUGCCUAAUACAUGCAAGUCGAGCGAACAGACGAGGAGCUUGCUCCUCUGACGUUAGCGGCGGACGGGUGAGUAACACGUGGAUAACCUACCUAUAAGACUGGGAUAACUUCGGGAAACCGGAGCUAAUACCGGAUAAUAUAUUGAACCGCAUGGUUCAAUAGUGAAAGACGGUUUUGCUGUCACUUAUAGAUGGAUCCGCGCCGCAUUAGCUAGUUGGUAAGGUAACGGCUUACCAAGGCGACGAUGCGUAGCCGACCUGAGAGGGUGAUCGGCCACACUGGAGCUGAGACACGGUCCAGACUCCUACGGGAGGCAGCAGUAGGGAAGCUUCCGCAAUGGGCGAAAGCCUGACGGAGCAACGCCGCGUGAGUGAUGAAGGUCUUCGGAUCGUAAUACUCUGUUAUUAGGGAAGAACAAAUGUGUAAGUAACUAUGCACGUCUUGACGGUACCUAAUCAGAAAGCCACGGCUAACUACGUG
rnacentral:rRNA from 1 species